GACCGCGAUAUUAACGCGGCUAAGAACAUGCUUGCGGUCGGGCAUGGCCGUCCAGUAGUGGGAAUCCCCGUCCUUUAGGGCGGGGAGGAUGUCAAAGGAUAGGAUUAG
rnacentral:sRNA from 1 species